GCGGGUCUGAGGGCCUGCAGCCCGACAGCAGCGGUGGCGCCCGCGGCCCCUGAGCCAACUGAGGACGCGGCCGCGAGGCGGCCACGCCCAGAGGAAAGCAACAGAGAAUGAACG